CAGUCGCCGCGGGAAUACGUAGGGUGCAAGCGUUAAUCGGAAUUACUGGGCGUAAAGCGUGCGCAGGCGGUUUUGUAAGACAGAGGUGAAAUCCCCGGGCUCAACCUGGGAACUGCCUUUGUGACUGCAAGGCUAGAGUACGGCAGAGGGGGAUGGAAUUCCGCGUGUAGCAGUGAAAUGCGUAGAUAUGCGGAGGAACACCGAUGGCGAAGGCAAUCCCCUGGGCCUGUACUGACGCUCAUGCACGAAAGCGUGGGGAGCAAACAGGAUUAGAUACCCCUGUAGUCCCUGUCUCUUAUAA
rnacentral:rRNA from 1 species